rnacentral:sRNA from 1 species
UCCUAACCAUAGCCGCUCCCUCCCGGAGCCU